GACGUAGGUGGCGAACGUUAUCCGGAAUUAUUGGGCGUAAAGGGUGCGUAGGCGGCAUGAUAAGUUAUUGGCGGCAAAUCGAGGCUCAACCUCGUGGAAACUGAUAAUACUGUCUUGCUUGAGUGCAGAAGAGGUUAACGGAACUCCAUGUGGAGCGGUAAAAUGUGUAGAUAUAUGGAAGAACAUCAAUAACGGCGAAGGCAGUUAACUAUUCUGUUACUGACGUUUGAGGCACGAAAGCGUGGGGGAGCAAAAAGG
rnacentral:rRNA from 1 species